GACGAACGCUGGCGGCGUGCCUAAUACAUGCAAGUCGAACGCAGUUGCGAACGGGUGAGUAACGUGUAGGUAACUGCCUCACACCGCGGGAUAACUUAUGGAAACGAUAGGUAAUAUCGCAUACUGUGAGAUGGAGCUGCGUUGUAUUGGCUAGUUGGUGAGGGAAAGUGGCACCAAGGCGAAGAUACAUAGCCGCGCGUAGAGGGUGAUCGGGCGCGAUGGGACUGAGACGGGGCCCAGACUCCUACGGGAGGCAACAGUAGGGAAUCUUCGGGGAUGGACGGAAGUCUGACCAAGCAACGUCGCGUGAGUGAAGAAGGGUGUCGGAGGGUAAAGCUCUGUUGUUAGAGAAGCGGUAACUAGCCAGAAAGCGACGGCUAACUACGUGCCAGCAGCCGCGGUAAUAC
rnacentral:rRNA from 1 species